rnacentral:rRNA from 1 species
GACGGGUGAGUAACGCGUGGGUAACCGUGCCUUAUUACAGGGGGGAGUAACAGUCAGAAAUGGCUGCUAAUACCGCAUAAGCGCACAGAGCUGCAUGGCUCAGUGUGAAAAACUACCGGUGGUAUAAGAUGGACCCGCGUUGGAUUAGCUAGUUGGUGGGGUAACGGCCCACCAAGGCGACGAUCCAUAGCCGGCCUGAGAGGGUGAACGGUCACAUUGGGACUGAGACACGGCCCAGACUCCUACGGGAGGCAGCAUG